rnacentral:sRNA from 1 species
UUCUAGCCCCGAUUGCAGUGUAAAUCCUUUUUUUGCCAGGCUUGGGUUGGGCUGAAAAAAGAUUGCAGCGGAAAGCGGGACCGUAC